rnacentral:rRNA from 1 species
CUUGUUUACCUAUAAGAGGUCCAGCCUGCCCAGUGACUCUGUUCAACGGCCGCGGUAUCCUAACCGUGCGAAGGUAGCGUAAUCACUUGUUCUUUAAAUGAGGACUAGUAUGAAUGGCACCACGAAGGUUAUACUGUCUCCUCUCUCUAAUCAGUGAAACUAAUCUCCCCGUGAAGAAGCGGGGAUAAUCUUAUAAGACGAGAAGACCCUAUGGAGCUUUAAACUAAGAAUCAACUGCCUUUACCAUAUUUAAAUUCCAGAAGACUAACUUUUACCAAGACAUUCUGAUUUCUAGUUUUAGGUUGGGGUGACCACGGAGUAAAAACUAACCUCCGCAAUGAACAGGGAUCUUCCCUUAACCAAGGACCACAACCCCAAGAAUCAAUACAUUGACAUCAAUUGACCCA